UGGCCCUGGCAUCGAUGAAGAACGCAGCGAAAUGCGAUAAGUAAUGUGAAUUGCAAAAUUCAGUGAAUCAUCGAAUCUUUGAACGCACAUUGCGCCCCUUGGUAUUCCGAGGGGCAUGCCUAUUCGAGCGUCAUUAUCACCCCUCAAGCUCAGCUUGGUGUUGAGGCCUGCUGUCAAGGCAGCCUCUAAAAUCAGUGGCAGUGCUGUCAGGCUCUAAGCGUAGUAAAAUUCAUCGCUAUAGACACCUGGUGGACACUCGCCAGAACCCCCCCCUUUUAUAAUGAUUGACCUCGGAUUAGGUAGGGAUACCCGCUGA
rnacentral:misc_RNA from 1 species